GACGAACGCUGGCGGCGUGCCUAAUACAUGCAAGUCGAGCGAAGCGGCGGAUGGGUGAGUAACGCGUAGGUAACCUGCCCUUAAGUCUGGGCUCCCGUUUGGAAACAGUUGCUAAUACCGGAUAUUAAAGGAUGGACGUGCGAUGCAUUAGCUGGUGGGUAAGGUAACGGCUUACCAAGGCGAUGAUGCAUAGCGUAGUUGAGAGCGUGAUAGGCCACACUGGGACUGAGACACGGCCCAGACGCCUACGGGAGGCAGCAGGAGGUAAUUUUCGAAAAUGGACGAAAGUCUGAUCGAGCAACGCCGCGGGAGUGAAGAAGGUUUUCGGAUCGUAAAGCUCUGUUGUUGGAGAAGCGGUAUCUAACCAGAAAGCCACGGCUAACUACGUGCCAGCAGCCGCGGUAAUAC
rnacentral:rRNA from 1 species